CAAUAGCGUAUAUUAAAGUUGUUGCGGUUAAAAAGCUCGUAGUUGGAUUUCUGCCGAGGACGACCGGUCCGCCCUCUGGGUGAGUAUCUGGUUCGGCCUGGGCAUCUUCUUGGAGAACGUAUCUGCACUUGACUGUGUGGUGCGGUAUCCAGGACUUUUACUUUGAGAAAAUUAGAGUGUUCAAAGCAGGUUCUCGCCUGAAUAUUACUCUUGGAAUAAUGAUAUAGGACUCAGGUUCAUAUUUGUUGGUGAUCUGGACCUGAGUAAUGAUUGAUAGGGACGGUUGGGGUCAUUCGUACUGCAAAGCGAGAGGUGAAAUUCUUGGACCUUUGUAUGACGAACAACUGCGAAAGCAUUUGGCUAGGACGUUCCCGUUGAUCAAGAACGAAAGUUGGGGGAUCGAAGACGAUUAGAUACCAU
rnacentral:rRNA from 1 species